GCGGUAGACGCGAAACCAAGUGAUCUACCCUUGGCCAGGAUGAAGUCUGGGUAACACCAGAUGGAGGUCCGCACCAAUAAGCGUUGAAAAGCUUCUGGAUGAGCUGAGGGUAGGGGUGAAAGGCUAAUCAAACUUGGAGAUAGCUCGUACUCCCCGAAAUGCAUUUAGGUGCAGCCUCGAGGAUUACUGAUGUGAGGUAGAGCGACUGAUUGGAUGCGAGGGCUUCACCGCCUAUCAAGUCCUGACAAACUCCGAAUGCGCAUCAGUUGUACCCCGGGAGUGAGGGCAUGGGUGCUAAGGUCCGUGCCCGAGAGGAGAACAAUCCGGACCAUCAGCUAAGGCCCCGAAAUGACAGCUAAGUUAAACUAACGAAGUCAGAUUGCUAAGACAGCUAGGAUGUUGGCUUGGAAGCAGCCAUUCAUUUAAAGAGUGCGUAACAGCUCACUAGUCGAGGAAUUUGGCGUGGAUAAUAAUCGGGUAUCAAGUUGUCUGCCGAAGCUAUGGAAU
rnacentral:rRNA from 1 species